UCCCAUAUGUCCCUAGUGGUAUACCGCUGCAUCCUCCCUCCCUCCUUGGUUGGCUACCCCAGACCCAGACAGACAAAGGUAGGUAUAUGCUCUUCUCCUCCUUCUAAGCUCUCCCUACCAAAUGAUGCAGCUCGAUUGGUGACUGCAGCUUUGUUAUAUAUGUAGUGGGUGCACUAACAAGUCGCAUCUAAUGGCGACAUGUUUCGUCGAGGAGAAAGGGACGGGGAGGAGGAAGACGAAGGUGACGCAUGGAACGAAAUUGCAAGGGCGGCUUGGUGUCCUGUCCGCACGCGCGUCCAAUGGCGCGACGGCUGAGUUGUUUAGGGACACGCCUCUAGUAAUCUAGUACUCCCUCUGUAAACUAAUAUAAGAGUGUUUAGAUCACUAAAUGUGCUUUGUCAUUUCCUGCCAAAGUUACAGUUCGUUACUGACAGCACUGGUAUAAACCCUGGAUCUUACCGGACAGUUUGCUGCCAAAAGUUACAGUUUUUAGGGGUGCUGCAAGAUUUUUGCUGUUAUUUGUAACUUUUUGCCAGCUGCGCUCUUGAUUGUAUCUCUUGACGGUGCCGGUGAUGGUACAACCAGUAGAAAAUUCCAAGCUCUCGUUCUUGGUAAAAA
rnacentral:lncRNA from 1 species